CGCUAUCACUCCUACGGGAGGCAGCAGUGGGGAAUCUUGGACAAUGGGGGCAACCCUGAUCCAGCCAUGCCGCGUGAGUGAUGAAGGCCUUAGGGUCGUAAAGCUCUUUCGCCUGUGAUGAUAAUGACAGUAGCAGGUAAAGAAACCCCGGCUAACUCCGUGCCAGCAGCCGCGGUAAUACGGAGGGGGUUAGCGUUGUUCGGAAUUACUGGGCGUAAAGCGCGCGUAGGCGGAUUAGUCAGUUAGAGGUGAAAUCCCCAGGGCUCAACCCCUGGAACUGCCUUUAAUACUGCUAGUCUUGAGUUCGAGAGAGGUGAGUGGAAUUCCGAGUGUAGAGGUGAAAUUCGUAGAUAUUCGGAGGAACACCAGUGGCGAAGGCGGCUCACUGGCUCGAUACUGACGCUGAGGUGCGAAAGUGUGGGGAGCAAACAGGAUUAGAUACCCUGGUAG
rnacentral:rRNA from 1 species